AGAAAGCCUGUCCUACUCAGGCAGAGAGGGCCUGCUUCAGAUCCUGUUGGUCAAAGAACCCCCAUCUAUCAGGAUCCAGAAGAAGAUCUCUGCUGCAGCACCCACAUUUUGGAACUCCUUAUCUUGUAAGGAAGCUGAUGAGUUAACUCCUUCGGAAGCCUACCAGCUGCUAUUGCUGUCACACUGCAAGAAUGAGGAAAGUUACACCACAUUGUUGAAUCAUCACUUGUAAUCAACUACUAUUCCCAGAUCUUUUUCACAAGUACUACUGCCAAGCCAGCUCCAUGACUUUAUUUACAGAGCCUUGGUUCCAGCUUUAUUAAGUUCCUUUGGUUCCCUGUCCAUGGGGUUCAGGACUUCAGAAAAAUUCCUGAUGUUCUCUUUGAAAGCGAAUACAGAAUAAGAGAAUUGGAAGGGACCUUGGAGGCCUCCUAGUCCAACCUCCUGCUCAAGUAGAAAACCAUAAACCAUUCUGGACAAUCCCUUUUGAAAAUCCCCAGGGAUGGGACACACACAACUUCCAGAGCCACCAUAGAGGCCUUGUGCACUAAUGGAGAGCAGACUUUGAAGACUAAUAAAGAAGAAUAUUUGUAGUUGAGGGUUGAAAUGAGCAGUCCUUAGUGCCCUGAUGAUAUUACCUAGUCUGGGUAAUGAAACAUCUGCAAGAAAACAACCAACUUCAGGGAGCACCAAAGACACACACACACCUCUUUAAAGAGCCCAAAAAUCAGCACACAGUAUAUGCCCUGAAUGUAAAUAGGACUCCUGACAUCUGUAGAGAGUUGGGGAAAGUCCCUGUCCAAAAUGUCUCAAGAUUUGCCAGGAAGCUAACUCUGACCAAGACUGUUCAAUAUUCUGAUUAAAAUCAAGCAGUUUAAUGGGUUUUCACCUUGUGAUUCACCUGUGUCUCCUUGAGGUGAGCAGCUAAGUGAGCAAUCUGUCCAGCUUGGGGUAAACUGGUGAUUGCUAUCAUGCUUUGCUUACAUGGAUUCAGUGCUCUGGAGAAAAUGAAGUUCCUUUGGAUGCUUUACAGCCAUUCCUUGAAGCCAACAGCUAACAGCACCUGAAUUGCCCUGAAAUUCAGCUUUCCUGAUCUUGGGAGCUUGCCCGCAAAGCCCAGCUGUAAAAUUUAGACAGCAAUGAAACUAAAGAAGAUUCUCAAACCCUUUAGAGAUUGUGCAGGAUUCUGUGCCAAGCUCAGCUGUUUGGAAAGUUGACGCUGAGUGCGCAAAAUGAAUAGCCAAGUGUCCACAUUGCUGUAUGAAUAUCUUGGGCUCCUUUGCCCAAAUGUGUAAUCCUGCAGUCGAGCACAGUGCCGGUGGAAAGCAGUAUUAUCAUAAGUCAGAAGUGAACAGGUUCAAUAUCCUGCUGAAGGCCAACUUGCCAAAAUUAAGGAGCUAUUUUAAAAAAAAUGUACAAGAGCAUACAAAUAACAAAAUAGUGAUAAAAUGGAUACAAUCCAGAUACAACUAGCACUAUUAUUAUAAAAUUACUAUAUAAAAUAUACUAAACAAUACAUAAAUUGAAAAACAUUAGUAAAUAAAAAGUGCACCUAAAAACUCUGGUCAAAACCCAAAGCAUGUAAAAUAAGAAUCCAUGUAACUCUCUGCAAUAUAUUUAGCUGUAUGACAUCAAAAGCUUUUAAAAUAUCAUUGCCUUACAUAACUUGUUAAAUUGUCUGGAAACCAUGCCUGCUGAAUUUUACUAGCAAGACACAUCAGCAAACUUCAGUGACAAAUCAUCAAACUUUGAUACAAAAUAGGAGGAAGCUCUGGGAAAUUUACUCUAAUAUUUCUUCAUUCUGUACUAAGGAUAAAUGAAAUUUGUUGUUGUUAGUUGCGAAGUCGUGUCCGACCCAU